rnacentral:rRNA from 1 species
GGCUUAACACAUGCAAGUCGAGGGGCAGCAUGGUCUUAGCUUGCUAAGGCUGAUGGCGACCGGCGCACGGGUGAGUAACACGUAUCCAACCUGCCGUCUACUCUUGGCCAGCCUUCUGAAAGGAAGAUUAAUCCAGGAUGGCAUCAUGAGUUCACAUGUCCGCAUGAUUAAAGGUAUUUUCCGGUAGACGAUGGGGAUGCGUUCCAUUAGAUAGUAGGCGGGGUAACGGCCCACCUAGUCAACGAUGGAUAGGGGUUCUGAGAGGAAGGUCCCCCACAUUGGAACUGAGACACGGUCCAAACUCCUACGGGAGGCAGCAGUGAGGAAUAUUGGUCAAUGGGCGAUGGCCUGAACCAGCCAAGUAGCGUGAAGGAUGACUGCCCUAUGGGUUGUAAACUUCUUUUAUAAAGGAAUAAAGUCGGGUAUGCAUACCCGUUUGCAUGUACUUUAUGAAUAAGGAUCGGCUAACUCCGUGCCAGCAGCCGCGGUAAUACGGAGGAUCCGAGCGUUAUCCGGAUUUAUUGGGUUUAAAGGGAGCGUAGAUGGAUGUUUAAGUCAGUUGUGAAAGUUUGCGGCUCAACCGUAAAAUUGCAGUUGAUACUGGAUGUCUUGAGUGCAGUUGAGGCAGGCGGAAUUCGUGGUGUAGCGGUGAAAUGCUUAGAUAUCACGAAGAACUCCGAUUGCGAAG